GUCUGCCCUAAAAAGAGAACACAUUUCAGAAAUCAAAGAUUUUGUUUUAGGAGAGGACAGGAAGAAAAAAAUAGGGGGUUGGGGUUUGUUUUGUCGUUUAAAAAUUAUUUUAACAAAUAUAGAAGGAAAAAGGCAACAGAAAUAAUGCUGCCUAUGGUGUCAAAAGAUAACACUUAAACGUUGGCCCUGCAAUUUAUUAACUAUAUUUUGCUGUUUUGUUAUAAAUCUCUUUAACUUUUCCAGGUCUCUGUCUCCUCAGAUGUAAAAUAAGGACUAGAUCACUCAGAUUGUAUUGGAAUUUCCCUUCCCUCCCCUUCCAGUUUACAAAGGGCCUCUGCCGGAGGAUAUACAUCCUGGCUCAGAUUUCUACAGGGCCCAGCAGCUCUGGAUAUACACCCUGAAUAUGAAGGCUCCAAGACAAGAGGAAAGAAAUAUCAGAAGAGACAGUAUGGAUGGUCUUUAAACCCGGAUUCAGAGAGAAGAAGGAGUAAAUUCAGCCUCAUUCUUUGGAGUUAAAUGAAAGAUGAGUUAAUUUCUAUAGCAAGGCCUUCUUCCCCAAAUAUUCACUUCUCCUCCACCUUGGUUCAUUCAUUUCUACUGGUUUGGGCAAUGUGUGAGAGGAAGAAAAAAAUAACUUGAAAUAUUGAUGAAAACAAAAUUUAUAAAAUACGAAUCAGCCUAGAAAGACUAGGUCCACAGCCUGGGCCAUGUUGCUGAAAGACAGAUUGCCGUGGGUCACGCUGAAACUUGGGAAAACUCCCCAAAAAGAGAGCAAAAACUUUCUCUUUAAAACCAACUGCUUUGAAUAGUUGCAGCUUUUGCUUAGAGAACUGGAGAUGGACACAACUCAAUCACUUUAUAGGGUAGUCAAGAAGUCAUAUUUACUUGGGGUGUCUGAGUAUAUCUCCAGUUCUUCAUUUCAGUCUUUGUUUCUCUAGUGCCUAGACUAGUGAUUUGUACAUGAGUAGACGACCCUUAAUAAAUGUUGAGUUUAAUUUAAUGUAAUUUAAUUGGUCCUGGGCUGGGUACCCUGGAGAUCAGAUGAAACAAAGCCAGUCUGUUUGGUGGGAUGGUGGGAAAUGUAAUAAAUCAAUCCCCCAAAUUUA